GCUGCGGCGGGAGGAGGAGCGCGGGGCCGGGCGGCAGCGCGGUCGGGCGGCCUGGGCGGCGAGCGGGCAGCGCGGCCUCGGCCUAUGUGACUGUGCGGCGCCAGCGCGGCCUCUGUCUGGAGAGCACUUGUAUGGCACUUAAAGCAUUGAGAUUUGCAGCACUUUGUGAGUUAGCCAAAACUGGUACCGUUUUUGGUGGUUUGGAGACUGUAGCCCAGAAAGUUAAGUGACUUGCACAGGAUCACAUGACUAAUAAAGGAUUCAAGAUGACCAACGAGGAACCUCUUCCCAAAAAGGUUCGACUGAGUGAAACAGACUUCAAAGUUAUGGCACGAGACGAAUUAAUUCUGAGAUGGAAACAGUAUGAAGCAUAUGUGCAAGCUUUGGAGGGCAAGUACACAGAUCUUAACUCUAAUGAUGUAACUGGCUUAAGGGAGUCAGAAGAAAAACUAAAGCAACAACAGCAAGAGUCUGCACGCAGAGAAAACAUCCUUGUAAUGCGACUAGCAACCAAGGAGCAAGAGAUGCAAGAGUGUACUACUCAAAUCCAGUACCUGAAGCAAGUCCAGCAGCCUAGUGUGGCCCAACUGAGAUCAACAAUGGUGGACCCAGCCAUCAACUUGUUUUUCCUAAAAAUGAAAGGUGAACUGGAACAGACUAAAGACAAACUGGAACAAGCCCAAAAUGAACUGAGUGCCUGGAAGUUUACGCCUGAUAGAGGCCUGAUGGCGUCGGACUAUUCCGAAGAAGUGGCCACCUCCGAAAAAUUCCCCUUCUAGAACAUGUAGACACUUGAGAAAUGUUUCUGUUUGAAGAAAAUAGAGGGAGAAACAGAAGUCUUAAGUCUGUGGCACACUGUGUCUUCAGACAGUUUGGAGGAAUGAAAACCUAGAGAUUUAAAAUCAUGAAUUGAACAUGUAAAAUUCCAGUAAAAUGUAAAAAUGGAAUGCAUCGCUCUUAACCUUGAGCACAGUGACUUAGAGACACUGUAUACAGUUUUGCCAAUAAGACUGUGGACUUGUGAUUGUUGUUGAACUUCUGGGUCAAAACUCAAAUGAGGUGAAUUUUGCCUUUAUAAAGGGUUUAUUUCCUAAGAAACAACUUAAUAGCCAUGAGAGGAGAAUCAACUAAUAGAUGUCAGUACAAGUAGUUCAUAUAUUUAAUCAUUUAGUUUGGGGCUCUAUAUUACUUGAUCGAGCCUUAAAUCAAUGUGGUUUUAAUCAAUGGUUUGUUCUUUGAAUGGUUGCUAAUAAUACUGUAGAUAAUCUCAUUGAGGACUGUACAAACAUGAAGGUGUGGUAUCAAACUUCAGGUUUAAACUGUUUGAAGCAUUAUAAACAUUCAUUUCACAACUAGAUUGUAUAAGGAUAUUGGCUGUGAUGAGACUCACUGCGUUCUUUUUUUUUAGUAGUGAAAUUUAUUAAAUCCCCAUUCCAUUCUACAGGCACAUGUUGAAAGAGAAUUGUCUUUGGUGUUAAUGGGGGAGUGUGUUCCUUCAUUGUAUUUGGGGCUUUUGUAUCACACUCUUGAUAUUAAAUUAAAUGUGCCUUGAAAUAGUUGGGUUUUUUUUUUUUUUUUUUGUUUUUUUUUUUUUUUUUUUUUUUUGGUUUUUUAAGUUCAAGGAAUACCAUGAUGAUUUUGUUGUACUUUUUAACAUGUUGAUUGGGGGGUGCUGUGGAGAGCAGAUUGAUGUUGGAAAAAUUGUUGCCGUGCUCUUCAAAGUGAAGGAAAAGGCUCUGUCUCCUUUUUGAAGGACCUACUGUUUUCCAGCUGGUAUCAUAAAAGACAAGGAGACUUGACACUUGGUACUUUUUGACACCUUGUCCCAGGAUAUUGCAGUAGAAAUUAACAUGGGACAGCUUCAGAGGGUGCCUGCCAGAAGAUUGGGGAAAUAAUGUAUUGGAACUGUGGGCUGGCCUAAGUGAGACAUUUUGUGAAUUGGAAAAAAAAAAGGUAUAGUGAUCAUUUCUAGCAAAUUCAUUUGAUCAUUUAGAUAAAUGAGGCAUUAUUUUCUUCAUGCUUCCAUCCAGUCCUGGAGGUGAAUUUUUUUCGUCAGAUCAUUCUAUAAGUCACCAAUUCGAAUUUUUUCUUGGUGAUAAUGAAGUCUAAGAUGAGUGGAAGAUAAAUGUUCCAGAUUGUCCCAACGUUUAAGUGCAGUUUUGACAAGGGUGACAUAAGUUCUCUCUUAAUCAUUCAAAUCAAUUCCAAACAGGCAAAAAGUUAAUGGCGAAGUGUCGAAUGCUUAUCCAGGAGAACCAAGAGCUUGGAAGGCAGCUGUCCCAGGGUCGUAUUGCACAGCUUGAAGCAGAGUUGGCUUUACAGAAGAAAUAUAGUGAGGAACUU